UACGUAGGGUGCAAGCGUUGUCCGGAAUUAUUGGGCGUAAAGAGCUCGUAGGCGGUUUGUCGCGUCUGCUGUGAAAUCCCGAGGCUCAACCUCGGGCCUGCAGUGGGUACGGGCAGACUAGAGUGCGGUAGGGGAGAUUGGAAUUCCUGGUGUAGCGGUGGAAUGCGCAGAUAUCAGGAGGAACACCGAUGGCGAAGGCAGAUCUCUGGGCCGUAACUGACGCUGAGGAGCGAAAGCAUGGGGAGCGAACAGG
rnacentral:rRNA from 1 species